UUAGCCGUUGUUGGAGUUACAUGUUAGGAUGUUUUGUUCUUUUGCAAGUCUCAUUUAGUAAGACUUUGGAAUUCCUUCGAUCAGCUUUCAUGCAUGGUGCUCUUCUGCAAUAGUUUCCUAUGCAAUCGUUAUAGAAGAAUAAAGGAAAUAAUCUUGGGAUAGUGAUACAAUAAAUAUUAGGUCCCCUGUCUAGAGCGCACGCGUCCUUGAGCCACGCAGGUGCAUGAUGACGUCAUACCAUGGCUUCACUGCAGAUUGACCAAAGGAGCAUUAGUGGAAAAAAAACAGUGUAGCCCUGAGACAAUAGGAUGAUGUCUGGACCAAUGAGAACUGCCAGCAGGGGGCGCAGGAAUGCUCUUCUCACUUAGCCUCACGACCAAUGAGCAACGAGAGAAGAGGGCGCAGGAAUGCUCUUCUCUCUUAGCCUCUCGCAGGUGGCGGCAGGAGCGCGCAGAGGGCGCUACGAGCGCGCGCAUGCGUAGCACCCGUAGAGUGGCGCUUACGUCAGUCCACCUCUGGCUCUCGUUGGGAGAAGACGUGUGGUCGUUCGCUCCGUCGACACUUGAUCCCUGGCUGUCGACGAGAGCAGUCGCAUCGGUCUGCGCUCCUACUGUGAGCUGUCCUAACCUGCCCAGACAUGCCAUGAUGACGUCACAGCUGACGUCACAGGAUGUGCGGAACUGGUGCUGCGAUGCUUUGCAACCUGCCUCAGUGCUCCGUCGCCCAGCGGCCUUUCCGGGCCGCUUUCUUCAAGAUGAUGUCGUUGAUCUUCAACUAAACUCCUUCUCUCCA